GCAACGAGCGCAACCCUUGCCAUUAGUUGCUACGAAAGGGCACUCUAAUGGGACUGCCGGUGACAAACCGGAGGAAGUGGGGAUGACGUCAAGUCCUCAUGGCCCUUAUAGGUGGGGCUACACACGUCAUACAAUGGCCGGUACAGAGGGUAGCCAACCCGCAGGGGGAGCCAAUCCCACAAAGCCGGUCGUAGUCCGAAUCGCAGUCUGCAACUCGACUGCGUGAAGUCGGAAUCGCUAGUAAUCGCAGGUCAGCAUACUGCGGUGAAUACGUUCCCGGGCCUU
rnacentral:rRNA from 1 species